GACGAACGCUGGCGGCGUGCUUAACACAUGCAAGUCGAACGGUGAACUCCGCUUGCUGGGGGAUCAGUGGCGAACGGGUGAGUAACACGUGGGCAACCUGCCCUCAGCUCUGGGAUAACUCCAAGAAAUUGGGGCUAAUACCGGAUAUGACCGCUGACCGCAUGGGCUGGUGGUGGAAAGAUUUAUCGGCUGGGGAUGGGCCCGCGGCCUAUCAGCUUGUUGGUGGGGUAGUGGCCUACCAAGGCGACGACGGGUAGCCGGCCUGAGAGGGUGACCGGCCACACUGGGACUGAGACACGGCCCAGACUCCUACGGGAGGCAGCAGUGGGGAAUAUUGCGCAAUGGGCGAAAGCCUGACGCAGCGACGCCGCGUGGGGGAUGAUGGCCUUCGGGUUGUAAACCUCUUUCAGCAGGGACGAAGCGAAAGUGACGGUACCUGAAGAAGAAGCACCGGCCAACUACGUG
rnacentral:rRNA from 1 species